AUCGAUGUCCCAAAUUUCCAACAUCGAUGGUAAAAAUAUCGAACAUCGAAUGAAUUACAUCGAUGUUUUUCUCCCAUCCCUACCUGGAAUUGAUCGUCAUGGGAAGAUGUCUGGAUCUUCACAGAGAACAGAAGAAAUGAAGAUAAAAGCUGUACGAGAACAUAUUUUAAGUUUCCCAACAUAUGAGAGCCACUACACCAGAGCUCAUGACACUUCUGGUUGAAAAUACUUGAGUCCUGAUUUAGAUAUUCGUAAAAUGUAUAGCCUGUAUGUAGAAAAAUGUGAGGAAAAUAAUCAACCCUUUGCUAUGGAAUGGAUCUACAGGAAAGGAAUAAUCAGAGCAUGCAAUAAUGACGACGAGAAAUUAGAUCUUAGUCCAUGUCAGUCCAAAACAGUCAUGAUGUAUAUUUGCAAAAUGCUGAACGAGCUAGGAACUGUCUUGCAGAGGACCAGGAAAAAUCAAAAUAAAAGUUCAGGAAAUAUUAUGGAUUCUCAUUUGAUGUGCAACAAGCACUUUCGUAUCCUACAUUUUCUGUUUCGUUAGCCUAUUAUAAUCGAAAUAUGUACGUAUGCAA